UACGGAAGGCAGCAGUGGGGAAUAUUGCACAAUGGGCGAAAGCCUGAUGCAGCUAUGCCGCGUGUAUGAAGAAGGCCUUAGGGUUGUAAAGUACUUUCAUCGGGGAGGAAAAAAACAAAACUAAUAAUUUUAUUUCUUGACGUUACCCGAAAAAGAAGCACCGGCUAACUCCGUGCCAGCAGCCGCGGUAAUACGGAGGGUGCUAGCGUUAAUCAGAAUUACUGGGCGUAAAGAGCACGUAGGUGGUUUUUUUAAAGUCAGAUGUGAAAUCCCUGGGCUUAACCUAGGAACUGCAUUUUGAAACUGAAAUACUAGAGUAUCGUAGAGGGAGGUAGAAUUCUAGGUGUAGCGGUGAAAUGCGUAGAUAUCUGGAGGAAUACCUGUGGCGAAAGCGGCCUCCUAAACGAAUACUGACACUGAGGGUGCGAAAGCGUGGGGAGCAAACAGGGAUUAGAUACC
rnacentral:rRNA from 1 species